ensembl:rRNA 5S_rRNA 5S ribosomal RNA
GCUUACGGCCAUACCUCUCUGGCUCCGCCUGAUCUCGUCUGAUCUCAGAAGCUAAGCAGAGUAGGGCCUGUUUAGUACUUGGAUGAAAGACCGCCUGGGAAUCCCAGGUGCCGUAAGCU